UAAGGAAUAUUGGGCAAUGGGCGCAAGCUGACCCAGCAACGCCGCGUGAAGGAAGAAGGUCUUCGGAUUGUAAACUUAUGUCAGAGGGGAAGAAUCAAUGACGGUACCCUCAAAGGAAGCCACGGCUAACUACGUG
rnacentral:rRNA from 1 species